rnacentral:rRNA from 1 species
GAGCGCAACCCUUGUCAUUAGUUGCCAUCAUUGGUUGGGCACUCUAAUGAGACUGCCGGUGGACAAACCGGAGGGAAGGUGGGGAUGACGUCAAGUCCUCAUGGCCCUUAUGGGUAGGGCUUCACACGUCAUACAAUGGUCGGUACAGAGGGUUGCCAACCCGCGAGGGGGAGCUAAUCCCACAAAGCCGAUCGUAGUCCGGAUCGCAGUCUGCAACUCGACUGCGUGAAGUCGGAAUCGCUAGUAAUCGUGGAUCAGCAUGUCACGGUCGAAUACGUUCCCGGGCCUU